rnacentral:rRNA from 1 species
AUUGAACGCUGGCGGCAGGCCUAACACAUGCAAGUCGAGCGAGCGGCGGAGGGGUGAGUAAUGCAUGGGGAUAAGCCCGAGAGAGGGGGAUAACUACUGGAACCGGUGGCUAAUACCGCAUACUCGCGGAGGAACCCAUAUGGGCUUAGCCAGUAGGUGGGGUAAAGGCUCACCUAGGCAACGAUCUCUAGCGGGACUGAGAGGAUGAUCAGCCAGACUGGGUCAUAUACACGGCCCAGCCUCCUACGGGAGGCGGCAGUUGUGAAUAUUGCGCUAUGGGCGAAAGCCUGAGUCAGCCGUGCCGCUUUGAUGCGGAAGGCCUGAGGUUUGUAAAGUACUUUCAUCGGGUAGGCAUUACCCGCAGAAGAAGCACCUGCUAACUCCGUGCCAGCAGCCGCUGUAAUUC